GACAGAGGGUGCAAACGUUGUUCGGAAUUACUGGGCGUAAAGGGCGCGUAGGCGGUUUGUACAGUCAGACGUGAAAUUCCUGGGCUCAACCUGGGGGCUGCGUUUGAUACGUGCGGACUUGAGUUCGGAAGAGGGUCGUGGAAUUCCCAGUGUAGAGGUGAAAUUCGUAGAUAUUGGGAAGAACACCGGUGGCGAAGGCGGCGACCUGGUCCGAUACUGACGCUGAGGCGCGAAAGCGUGGGGAGCAAACAGG
rnacentral:rRNA from 1 species